GGGAGUGUAGCUCAGUUUGGCAGAGCAACGGCCUUUUAAGCCGUAGGUCUUGGGUUCGAGUCCCAACACUCUCA
rnacentral:tRNA from 1 species